rnacentral:tRNA from 1 species
GGAUUGUGGCUCAGUGGUAGAGCACUUGCCUCACUUAUGUGAGACCCUAAGUUCGAUCCUCAGCACCA